rnacentral:lncRNA from 1 species
GCCUCAGGACAGUUCAGUGUUGCAGGUGGUCUCUUCUCUCACAAGCAAGCAAGGAGCCGUGGACAGAACUGUUGUGGACAGGCAUGCCUUAUCCAGCCAGAACCACUCUUUCCUCAGAUUAAAUAAAGUAUUGGAGAAACGUCUUCACUAGCAGUUUGCUGUGGUAGAUGAAUAAUCUCUAUAUGUUGCCUUUUAGUGUGGAAUGCAUCAGUUAAAAUCUCAAGAAACCCCGAGGCAGAGGAUUAAGAGAUACUGAAGAGAAGAUGAGUCUGUGUGCAUUUAUCUGUGCUUAGCCUGCUCCGAAUGGGAACUCAGCUCUCAAAUGAAGGUGUGUGUGGUAUGUGAUGGUGGAAGUAACCAGCAGCCAGGCAAAUGGCAGAGCGUGGCCCUUUUCCACCUCCAUGUGUAAUAAUUGCAGGACUCCCUUCCCAGACAAGACUGCUCACUCCUGCAGAAAAUGACCUUGUUCUUGAGAGCUGCUGCUAAUUUACAGUGAGGCACUAGGUUUCUACCCAGUGCCACGUGAGCAACCAAUCCAUCUACCCAGGGGCACGGCACUGACGAGCAGCAUCAUUUAGAAGGAAAGAAGUAUGGGUGGUGUUUGUUGUUUCCUGUGUGUUAAGGAAAAUCCAGUGGCUAGCUCCAUGUUUUGUUCACGUGACUCUCAACCUGGUGUGGCCUGGACUCUAGUCCCUGCCUCAAGGAAAGUCCAGACUGACAUAGAAAAUCCCUGCUCACCAGCCUUGACCUUGGGAGAAAGCCCCUGACCUGUGAGUGGACAGAAGGCCUGGUGGUCAGCCCGUGGGAGCCCUGGAGCGUGCACUGCUGGAGCAGCUCAGAAAAAGCUGAGAAGCCAAGACUUGACUGUCAGUCCUGGAGAAUUAGAACAUGCCUGCUAAAUUUCAGUCCACUCUGAGGAAGGGGCAGUGCCCACAAGGAAACCUAGUGGGUGGGGUUCUGGCUGGGACUCAUCUGGAGUUCCCAGGGCAGAUGCCCGGCCCCAGCUUAUAGACCAUGAUGCGGCUGGGCUUCCGUGUCUGAUUCUUAAGUGCCUCAGGUAAACAGACUCUCCUUUGCUUUGCCAGGAGGAAUGACAUUACUAUCAGCAUUGUAAAAGUCUGUGGCCUUUGGGAGAGUAAUUUUACUUCUAAGACUCUCCUCUACAGAGAAGUGUGCACACUGUUCCCAGUGGAGUCUAUAAAGAUAGCAAAGAGCAAAGACUUAAAACAGAAUGGCUCUGGGUUUGAAGUGUUGUGUAUCUAGACAAUGAACAGCCCACCUUUAAACAAGCCCCACAUGGACUGAAGCGGAGGCAGCUCCAAAUGUAUUAGGUGACAGUGCCACAUGGCUCUGUGUGAUGGUAAGAUUAUAUGUGUACAUGUCAUCUCGAAAGGAGAAUUCGGCUUAUCUCUGGGGAGAGAGUCUGCAUCUUUUCUCAUUUGUACCGAGUAUGGAGUGUGUAUCUAUCUCUCUGUCAGAAAUGUCAAGGGAAGGGUUCACCAUUGACCUGAUGCUCACGAAGGUUAGGAACCAAUGCCAACCACAAUGCCCACCUCUACCUUCAGGAGACAGUAAACGCCUUAGAAUACAAAACCCAUAAACAACCAAGACUGUGGUGCCUGCUGGGGCUGGGCCUGAGCUGCACACAGAGGCUAGGUACCGAACAGCUGCCAUGGUAAACUGGCACAGUUAGGCACGCGGCCGGGUUCACACGCCCUCUGCCCUGACUUUAAAGACAGCAGUCUUGGCCCAGCUUCCCUCACCCCCUAUGUAUGAGCAGAGAGCUAUACUUGCUGGGUUUCCAGCUCUUGUAUUUGGACUCCUCUUCUCUUUUCUCUUUUUUGAGAGAGGGUCUCACUGUGUAUUCGUGGCUGCUCUGGAACUUCCUGGACCAGGCUGGCCUUGAUGUAGA